rnacentral:rRNA from 1 species
AGGCAGCAGGCGCGCAAAUUACCCAUUCCCGACACGGGGAGGUAGUGACGAAAAAUAACAAUACAGGACUCUAACGAGGCCCUGUAAUUGGAAUGAGUACAUCCUAAAACUCUUAACGAGUAUCCAUUGGAGGGCAAGUCUGGUGCCAGCAGCCGCGGUAAUUCCAGCUCCAACAGUGUAUGCUAAAGUUGUUGCGGUUGAAAAGCUCGUAGUUGGAUUUUGGGCGAGCGCAGCCGGUCCGUCGCAGGGCGUGUUACUGGUUGCGUUCGCCUCACCUUCGGUUCUCCGUCGGUGCUCUUGACUGAGUGUCGGCGGUGGCCGAUAAGUUUACUUUGAAAAAAUUAGAGUGUUCAAAGCAGGCUGCUCGCCUGCAUAGUGUUGCAUGGAAUAAUGGAAUAGGACCUCGGUUCUAUUUUGUUGGUUUUCGGAGCACGAGGUAAUGAUUAAGAGGGACAGACGGGGGCGUCCGUACUCUGCCGUUAGAGGUGAAAUUCUUGGAUCGGCGGAAGACGAACUACUGCGAAAGCAUUCGCCAAGAAUGUUUUCUUUAAUCAAGAGCGAAAGUCAGAGGUUCGAAGACGAUCAGAUACCGUCCUAGUUCUGACUAUAAACGAUGCCAACUAGCGAUCGGGAGGCGUUACCAUGACGACCUUUCCGGCAGCUUCCGGGAAACCAAAGUCUUUGGGUUCCGGGGGAAGUAUGGUUGCAAAGCUGAAACUUAAAGGAAUUGACGGAAGGGCACCACCAGGAGUGGAGCCUGCGGCUUAAUUUGACUCAACACGGGGAAACUCACCCGGCCCGGACACAGGUAGGAUUGACAGAUUGAGAGCUCUUUCUUGAUUCUGUGGGUGGUGGUGCAUGGCCGUUCUUAGUUGGUGGAGCGAUUUGUCUGGUUAAUUCCGAUAACGAACGAGACUCUGGCAUGCUAAAUAGUUACGCGACCUUCUCGGUCGGCGUCUAACUUCUUAGAGGGACUAGCGGCGUUUAGCCACACGAGAUUGAGCAAUAACAGGUCUGUGAUGCCCUUAGAUGUCC